UACGUAGGGGGCUAGCGUUGUCCGGAAUCAUUGGGCGUAAAGCGCGUGUAGGCGGUCCGGUAAGUCCGCUGUGAAAGUCGAGGGCUCAACCCUCGAAUGCCGGUGGAUACUGUCGGGCUUGAGUACGGGAGAGGCGAGUGGAAUUCCAGGUGUAGCGGUGAAAUGCGCAGAUAUCGGGAAGAACACCCGUGGCGAAGGCGGUUCUCUGGGACGGUACUGACGCUGAGACGCGAAAGCGUGGGGAGCGAACAGG
rnacentral:rRNA from 1 species